rnacentral:misc_RNA from 1 species
GAUGAAGAACGCAGCGAAAUGCGAUAAGUAAUGUGAAUUGCAGAAUUCAGUGAAUCAUCGAAUCUUUGAACGCACAUUGCGCCCUCUGGUAUUCCGGGGGGCAUGCCUGUUCGAGCGUCAUUAUAACCACUCAAGCUCUCGCUUGGUAUUGGGGUUCGCGGUUCCGCGGCCCCUAAAAUCAGUGGCGGUGCCUGUCGGCUCUACGCGUAGUAAUACUCCUCGCGAUUGAGUCCGGUAGGUCUACUUGCCAGCAACCCCCAAUUUUUACAGGUUGACCUCGGAUCAGGUAGGGAUACCCGCUGAACUUAAGCAUAUCAAUAAGCGGAGG